GAUCUAGCACGAUCCUGCGCCAACUGCGCACGCUCCCGCAACGACGGUCGGCCUCGGCGACGAUACAUAGCUGAAAGGAACAAAUCGGGGUCAGAUACAACGCAACACUCUCGACCCAAUCAACGAAAGUCCAGGAGGCGGUCCCUAUUUUCCUCCAAAAUUAUGUCGUCUGCAGCCAACAUAAUUUUUCAGGCCAAAACAGAAACUACUUCAGUCACUCACUCUACUCUAAGAGGAGUUAAAACAAAUAAUCAUUGACUUUCGCAAUAAAAUUACGCCUCUCACGUCUUGCUUCCCUAAUGUUUGUCAAACUUAAGUUUCCUAGGUCCCCACGACCUACAGCAAAGCUCUGAUACCAACUUAAUCUGUCACGCCCCAGAUUACACGUUCCCCGGGCACGCCGACAAAUCCGCCGUAUACAAAGAAAUUUUUCCUGUAUACGAAGCGAUAGUUGUACCUAUAAAUCAAACACUACUACAAACAGUAGUAGAGAGCUGCUAGAGAAAACUGAAGCUAAAUAAAACAGAGUUUCAUAUAUAUAGUUCGGAUCCAAAAUAC
rnacentral:lncRNA from 1 species